GGAAGCCCGGUGAGAUUCCGGCACGGCCGCGCCACUGUGAGCCGGACGACGCCCCGUGCGGGGCGGAGUUCGGUGAGUCAGAC
rnacentral:ncRNA from 1 species